AGAGGCAAGAUUCUCCUAAGAGGCACAAGAGGAGAGCAGCGUGGCUGCUGAACAUCUACUGAUUAAGCCCCACUGCCUGCGAGCCACUGUUCUAAAUGGUGGGGACACCACGGGGGAGGCACAGUGGGAACUCUGUGUCCUCCUAGAAUCUAGGUGGGGGAGACAGACGGCACAUCAACCGGGUAAACAUGUGAAGUGGCUACAUAGUUGCUCGGCUGCACCCCUGAGAGACAAACUUACCGCCUGGAGCCAGCACUGAGACCAGUUCCUUUUGUCUUGAGUCAUAAACCUCUUUGCUGAAAUUGCUCAGUUGUGCCUUUUCCAGAAAGGCAUGGAAAUGGGAUCCCACAAUACGGAGCCUUGGGGCCUGGCUUUGUCAAUCAGCAAAAUGCCUCAGGGCCAGGCACGCUGGCUCACACCUGUAAUCCCAGCACUUUGGAAGCCUGAGGCAGGCGGAA